rnacentral:lncRNA from 12 species
GAUCCAGGCUGGGAUCUGGAGGGAUCCUGGCUGGGAUCUGGGCUGGAAUCCUCCCAGGAUCCUGGCUGGAUCCCCGUGGAUCCCUCAGUUGCUGCAGCACGGGCCCAGACCCUGCAGGCUGUGAUCCUGGAUUUGGGCUGGAUCCAACUCGAUCCCACUGGAUCCCAACUGGAUUUGGGCUGGAUUCUGGCUCGAUGCCGUCUCAAUCCUGGCUGCAUUUGGGCUGGAUCCCACUCGAUCCCAGCUGGACUUGGGCUGGAUCCUGUGGGAUUCCCUAAGUUCCUGCAGCCCUGUGGGCUGGAUCUGGGUUCAGUCCUGGCUGGAUCCCAGUGGAUCCCAGCUGUGAUCCCACUGGGUCUCUCAGCUGCUGCAGCACUGGAUGUGGCCCUGCAGGCUGGAUCUGGGUUCAAUCCUGGUGGAUCUGGGUUGAUUCAAUCCUGGCUGGAUCCCAGCUGUGAUCCCAGUGGAUCCCAGUGGAUCCCAGGAUCUCUCAGUUGCUGCAGCACUGGCCCCGGCCCUGUGGGCUGGAUCUGGGUUCAAUCCUGCUGGAUCCGGGUUCAAUCCUGGCUGGAUCCCAGCUGUGAUCCCAGCUGUGAUCCCAGUGGAUCCCAGUGGAUCCCAGGAUCUCUCAGUUGCUGCAGCACUGGCCCCGGCCCUGCGGGCUCUGCUCACUCAGGUCCACGCCCCGGCCCCGGCCCCCGGCGCCGCUCGUGCUCUGGGGCUCCGUCUUUGGCAGCUUCUUGGCUGGAACCGGGGAAAUGGGGGUUGUUCGGGGUGGUUUGGGGUGAUUUGGGGUGAUCUGAGAAUGGUUCAGGGUUAUUUGGGAUUAUUUGGGGUUGAUUGGGAUGGUUCAGGGCUAUUUGGAAUUAUUUGGGGUUGUUUGGGACGGUUUGGGGUGAUUUAAGGGGAUUCAGGAUGAUUUGGGGUUUAUUUGGGAUGACUUGAGAUGAUUUGGGGUUGUUUGGGAUGGUUUGAGAUCGUUUGGGGUUAUUUAGAACGACUUGAGAAAGGUUCAGGGUUAUUUGGGAUUAUUUGGGGUUGUUGGGGAUGGUUUGGGGUUAUUUGGGGUGAUUUAAGAUGAUUUGGGGUUGUUUGGGAUGGUUUGGGGUGACUUAGAAUGACUUGAGAAUGGUUCAGGGUUAUUUGGGAUUAUUUGGGGUUGGGGGGGGGGGGGGGGGGGGGGGGGGGGGGGGGGGGGGGGGGGGGGGGGGGGGGGGGGGGGGGGGGGGGGG